UUCUCUUUUCAUUUUUCAGUUCUCACUUCUCUGAGUCUCCCUCUCGGUUUCUCUUCUCCACCAGAGUUCAGAGUCACUCUUCAAAGAUCAAAUCACCACCAAUACCGCGAUCUCUUCAUCACCAGUAACACCAACAAGGCAACAACGUGAGGUUACCACUUAUCAUGGUUGAAAUCUCAGAAGAUGAUUCUGCUUCAAAUCUUCCAGUUGUACUUGGAAUUGCAUCGCAAAUGGGACCUCCGCCUCAACUUCCACCGCGUUCUGGUCAUGUGCCUGGAUCUGGAGCAUCAGCUGGGCACUUGAGGCCUUAAUUUUAUUACAAAAUUGGUUACGUACUCCGAUUGACAUGGAUUCUUCUAGCCUUGGAGUGUAGGAGGAGGAGAUUGAUAUUCUUGAGUUGGAGCUAUUUGGUGACCUUGCUACUUCUUUCAUCAUCGUAGAUGAUGAUUGAUUCCUAUUGGCUUAGACAAUGUGAUGGUUUAGUUCACUGUUGGGGGUAGAACAUCCAAAUCUUUUGAGGGAGAAUGUUGCAAAUAGUAUGGAUCAACAAUGCACUGUUUUUUUGAGCUUUGAACUCAUUUCUAUGCAAUGUACUGUCUUUUCUCUUUUGAGCUUUGAACUCAUUUCUUGUUACUAUUGUUAGCUUUAUCUUUCUGCACCUUUAAACACUUUUAAUUGCUGCCUAACACUUGGACAUGAGGUCAGCUUUUAUCUUCUUUAAGAGUUAUAGACUAUAGUUAUUGUACA